AUACGGAGGGUGCAAGCGUUAUCCGGAUUCAUUGGGUUUAAAGGGUGCGCAGGCGGACUUGUAAGUCAGUGGUGAAAUCCCGGGGCUCAACCUCGGAACUGCCAUUGAUACUGCAAGUCUUGAGUUUGGUUGAGGUGGGCGGAAUGUAGCAUGUAGCGGUGAAAUGCAUAGAUAUGCUACAGAACACCGAUCGCGAAGGCAGCUCACUAAACCAACACUGACGCUCAGGCACGAAAGCGUGGGGAGCGAACAGGAUUAGAAACCCCAGUAGUCC
rnacentral:rRNA from 1 species